rnacentral:tRNA from 1 species
UAGCCACGUGGUUAAGGCGACGGAUCGCCAAUCCGGAGACGGCGGGUUCAAUUCCCGU